rnacentral:rRNA from 1 species
UACAGAGGUCUCAAGCGUUGUUCGGAUUCAUUGGGCGUAAAGGGCGCGUAGCGGUCAGCACAAGUCAGUUGUGAAAUCUCCGAGCUUAACUCGGAACGGUCAACUGAUACUGUGCGACUAGAGUGCGGAAGGGGCAACUGGAAUUCUCGGUGUAGCGGUGAAAUGCGUAGAUAUCGAGAGGAACACCUGCGGCGAAGGCGGGUUGCUGGGCCGACACUGACGCUGAGGCACGAAGGUCAGGGGAGCAAACGGG